UCGACCUGAUGGGGAGCAUCCCCCCCCCCCACACUAUCACCAUCCUAUCCAACCAGCCGCCAAGCAUCUACUACUGCUCCCACUGGAUAUGCACUUAUAUAUGAAUAGCGUGCAUACAUCUGCACAACUGCAUAACAGUCACAAAUGAUUGUUUUGUGAAUCUGCAGAGAAUCUAAUUAUCCAUGUACGGCAAUAGCCAGAUUAAUUUGUUUACCCAAAAUUAUCAAGGUGAAUUCCUUGUUCUUGUUUUCUCAAGUCGAUGAUGCAUGCCAAAUAUCCUACCACUUUACAUUCGCUCUCUUUAAAUCAUUCAUCUAUUUGAUCAGGAAGCAUCUUGCUAUGAUCAAUAAAGACGGAAAAACAGUGCACACAAUAGACGAGUGGCGGAGUACAAUGAGCUUCUUUUAUAGUCAUGGAUUAUUCAUGUGUUAAACAAGUUCUGCUCAUCGAUUAGUUAUUAUCAAACCUGUGGAUUAUGUUUUUACUAUAAUUUAUGAUUUAAUUUGUACCUUGCAAACUCGGCAAGUAAAAAUAUCACUUAUUUAAGAGCCGAGAGAGUGUUGUUAAAAUGUGUCUGAUUACCUUUUAAAUGUUUUACAAGAUUCAGCGAUAUAUGAGUAUACUUCCAUGUCUACUUGAUUUCUAUACAGAAUAUGGAACCAGAUGUAGCGAAAUGUUUGCAUACCAUGUCUGGAUUCAACAAGCUAUUUACUGAUGGCUGAUUUUUAAGGAUGUCUUAUGAAGUUGUGAUUCUGCGAGGAAAAGCUCCGGUUCCAUUAUAUAUAUUCACUUUGGAAGGCAAAAAUUAUAUGUUGGCUGGUUGCCCGAGAAAUCAAAAAGGCUAAAUCUUGAGUUGUAUGGAGCAUGGUCAUUUGCUUGAAGUUUCCAAUGGACUGUAUAUACCAUUGAAUGAGAGGAAUUAUUCCAUGAGUGUGGACAAAUUGAGCUGAUCGAUUGAUUGAGAAAAUAUUGUGUGGAUGUUCUCAGAUCUCCUUGCUCCACUACUCCUUGGAUUAUUACCUUUGUCCAUAUAUUUUGGUUUAUCUGAGCUGAAGCAGUGAUAAUAUACUCUAGAUAAAAGGAUGGACACAUAAGCUUGGGACAUGAUUGUGGCCGCUGUACUUCAAGAAGGUGCGGAGCUACGGUGAGCAACAGGUUGCAUCGUCAU